rnacentral:rRNA from 1 species
AAUAAACGCUGGCGGCGUGCCUAACACAUGCAAGUCGAGCGGGAAAGCCCUUCGGGGUAAGUACAGCGGCGGACGGGUGAGCAACACGUGAGAAUCUGCCCUUUAGUGAAGAAUACUCCCGAGAAAUCGGGCAUAAUACUGCAUAAGUCCCUGCGGGGAGAAAGAUGGCUUUAUGCUGUCGCUAGAGGAUGAGCUCGCGUACUAUUAGCUAGUUGGUAGGGUAAUGGCCUACCAAGGCAAUGAUGGUUAACCGGCCUGAGAGGGUGUUCGGUCACACUGGAACUGAGACACGGUCCAGACUCCUACGGGAGGUAGCAGUGAGGAAUAUUGCGCAAUGGGCGAAAGCCUGACGCAGCGACGCCGCGUGGAGGAUGAAGGUC